UUUGGUCUGACCCAUCACUGCUAAAACCUGUGCCUGCAAAACAAGAGGGCACUGAGCUUAGAAGACACCUGGUCACGCCAUAGCAGAUGGAGCACCCUCUGCAGAGAGCACCAUGUCUGCCUGUACAGUGCCAUGCUUCCCACCAUGAUGAUAAUAGACUAAACCUCUGGACCGGGUGGGAAGAACUGCUGAGUGAUCAUGGCUAGUGCAGUGGACAAAGCCUACUACACAAACACAAGGACCUGAACUUGACCCCUAGCAGGUAAGUGUGAUAUUACACUUGUACUCCCAGCACUCGGCAGAUGGAGACAGGUGGAUCUUGGGCCCUAGGACUCACUGGCCAGGCAGCCUAGCCUACACAACAAGUACCAGGGCAAAGAGAGGUUCUAUCUCAAAAGACACAGUAGACAACACAUGAGGCUUACCUCUGUACUUCACACUCAUGCACAUGUGUCCCCACAUACAUACAGACACCAGAUACAGACCACACACAGAGAGAUGCUCAUUGUAGCUAAAAUUCAAGGACAAGAUCACAGUCACACCUCUCCCCACUGAUCCACCCUGCCAGACAGAAAGUGAGGUGUUGAUGGUGCAAAGUCCCAGAGUGUGUGUCCACAAGGCAUUAGACAUGGUGAAGGCUGAGAUCAGUCACAUAAGGGCCAACACAGAGCACAGCUCCAGAAGCUUUGAUCCCAGGUCUCUCUCC